rnacentral:miRNA from 1 species
CUGCUACGCGCAGUGCCAUGC